CCUACGGGUGGCAGCAGUGGGGAAUAUUGGGCAAUGGAGGAAACUCUGACCCAGCAACGCCGCGUGAAUGAUGAAGGUCUUCGGGUUGUAAAGUUCUUUUCUAAGGGAAGAGGAGAGUGCCGUUACCUUAGGAAUAGCCAUCGGCUAACUACGUGCCAGCAGCCGGGGUAAUCCGUAGGAGGCGAGCGUUAUCCGGAUUGACUGGGUGUAAAGGGGGUGAAGGUGGAUUGACAAGUCAGUAGCGAAACCCCAAGGCUCAACCUUGGAACUACUAUUAAAACUGUUUGCCUUGAGUGCAGGAGGGGUAACCGGAAUUCCUAGUGUAGCGGUGGAAUGCGUAGAUAUUAGGAGGAACACCAGUGGCGAAGGCGGGUUGCUAGACUGUAACUGACAGUGAGGCACGAAAGCGUGGGGAGCAAACAGGAUUAGAUACCCGGGUAGUC
rnacentral:rRNA from 1 species